CCCGCCCCAGCUCCACCUGCUCCCUGCCCUGGCCAUCUCCAAGCCACAUGGGAGCAGCACAAUAAUAAGAAUUAUUAACAGGAAUAAGAGCAGCCCUGAGAGCUCUGGGAGCGGGAGCUGUGGUGGCCCACAGUGCCCAGGGAGGGAUACAUGGCAGCCCCAGGGUGUGGGGCAGGUGGGCAGGGCACUAAUGAGGGGCCUCGAGUCCCAGGCCAAGGGCUCAGACUUCCUCCUGGGGAUAAUGGGAAGGAGAACCUCAUGGCCAGGUUUGUGCCCUUAGUGAGGUCCCCAAGGGGGAACCUGGAAGGACCACUGUCUUCUUAUAGCCCUUCAGACCCCCCCAGAGGCUCUGCCUCCCCACACCCUGGCCUCCCUCCCCAGGCUCUGGGAGGCCAGGCCUCGCCCCCUCUCCUGUGCUGCUCCUUCUCCCAGAGGACUGCAUCCGCCCUCAGCACUUCAAGGCCCUGCAUGUGCCCGCACCUCUCCACUCCCCUGGCUCAGCUUGGACCUCUCUUCUGAACUCCAGACUUGCGGAUCCUGCUCCCCUUCCCACUUCUGCACUUGGGGGUCUAAUGAGGCCUCAGUGGAACAUAGAAUUCCUCCCGCCCUGACAUCAUAGCUCCCGCCUGGGAGGCCUCCUGGAUGACUCCUUUCGCCUCCUCCCUUCCCUGAGAGCAGCCCCUGGCUCAACCUCCACCUCCGUGCUGCCUCGGACCACCUGCCCAGUCGAGCUGCCAUCACCUGCCAGGUGACCACAGCAGCCCUCACUCAUCCCCUGCUCCUCUGCCUUCCACUCCCGCGACCAUCAGCCUCCCCAAGCCAGAAAGGUCCUUCUGGAGGGUGACGCAGACCAGGACACUGCUUUGCUGAAGACCUCUGACAGCCUCUGGGGUUGCUUGGAAUAAAAUCCACCCUCCUUCCCAGGGAACCCCAGGCCCUACGGGAGCUGGCCUGGCUCACCCCGGCAUCACCUCCCUCCACUCUCCUCCCCUUCACUGCACCCAGCCCCUCUCCUCCCUGCUGGCCCUGAACUUAGGGCCAGCCUGCUCCUGUCUUAGGGCCUUGCACUUGCUCCUUCUGGAACAUUCCUCCUCCAGCUGCUGACGUGCCCCUCCUUGUGUGGAGAGGCUGGGCCCAGUCUCACUCCACUGACGGCACGGCUGCUCUGCUCUUCCUCACAGGAGGUGUCAACUCCACGGUUGGUUUGCUUCUGUGCCCACCGACAGCCUCCCCUAGAGCACAGUGCCUGUUUGCUGCCCUGUAGGCUGUGAGCACUCACUCUAGUUGAGCCCCUGAGGGGCAGGGGCAAGGGCAGAGGAGAUGGAGUCCAGGAGCUGCAGGUGCAGUCACCUUCCCAUGUACCUCCCACACAUGCAGCUGUGAGAACCACACGGCAUAAAGGGUGGCUGGGCCAGGCCACCCCACGCGUCCUCAUCACCCCUGGGCCUUUCCAAGGAGAUGGCUCCAGGUGUCCAGCAAACACCAUUUGACUGCCCAGAAAGGAAGUAUUAUCAUAGGCUCAGAGCAGCUUUUGGUAAUUUCUUUCCUCUCACACCAAGGCAUUGUGUGCGCACGUGUGUGUGUGUGUGUGUGUGUGUGUGUGUUUUAAUUUUUAUUUUAGAGACAGGGUUUUGCUGUGUUGCUCAGGCUUGUCUUGAACUUCUGGGCUCGUGUGCUGCGAUUACAGGGUGAGCCACUGCGCCUGAUCAAGGCAUCACCGUUGAACCUCCUAAGAGGAAAACAUAAGGCUGUGCAAUACCAGGAACUGGGAUUCUAGGUUGCCCCAGACACCAAGGCAUCAAAAGCCAGGGGAUCCAGAGAAAACACAGACAGCCAAGAGAGAAACUGCGGGAAAAAGCCAAAAGGUUGAGAGCCACACCAUCUAGAAGCUUCCUGCCUGUGGUGCGGCACAGAAACAAGGAGAGUCAGCAAUUACCAGCCAGCCAAGGUCCUGGAAGCUGACGUAGAGCUCGUGCCGACGGCAGACCUGCCGGCCGUGGGAGCCGCGGACGUCAUCUGCAGGGACAGAAGGGGCAAGGUCUUUUCUGGGGUUCCUGCUGUGUGCAGCUACUAUGGGGUACCAGGGUGGGGGAUGCCCUGAUGAGCACAUUUGUCAAAUAAAUGAAUGACAGGAAACCAUUUGGUCUCAUAAAGCCCAUCCCUGGAACGCUGCUUGUACCAUGACCCAGCUCAAAAGCCUGCCAUGGCUCCCAAUGGCUAGAGUGACACUGUGCCCAGUCCUCCCCUGUCCUUCAGCCUAUGAGCGUCUUUAUGCUCCAGUAAACAGCCCAGCAGGACCCUCGGCCAUCCUGUGCCUCCUCCUCUCUGGAGACCCCUGUGACUCCAGCCCACCCUCUCCUGCCACACCCAUUCCCGAGGUUCAAGUGGCUCACGACCAGGCCAGUCAAGGGCCGACUCCCUGGUGAAGGAGGGCACGGGGUUGGGUCAGGCCUGUCCCUGAUCCUGAAGGGCUUGGCCCAGUUGGGGAGAAAACUCGCAUAAGCAACCGAGGAUCCCACAGGGUGCCCAGGCACAACCGCAGGUCAUGAGGGGCUGCGGCUCCCAGGGAAGGGGCAGCUGAUUCUGAAGGAGGCUCCUGAGAAAGACCCGGAGGAGCCAGGGGGAGAGAGGGAGACUUCUGGGCAGCAGGGACAGCCAGGACAGGCCUCCGGAGUGCCGGUCACCAGGGUGCAUCAGGGCCAAGAUGGUGUCAGGAAAGGUGGCUGGAGAGUGGCCGUCAGCUUGAACCGACCUGAGCCUGAGGGCUCUGGGCCACCACUUGGUUCUCGCCCUGCCUCUCU
rnacentral:lncRNA from 10 species